UACGAGGGGGGCGAGCGUUGUUCGGAAUUAUUGGGCGUAAAGGGUGCGUAGGCGGCCUGACAAGUCUGAUGUGAAAUCCCUGGGCUCAACCCAGGGCCUGCAUCGGAAACUGUCGGGCUUGAGUAUGGGAGAGGUGAGUGGAAUUUCCGGUGUAGCGGUGAAAUGCGUAGAUAUCAGGAGGAACACCGGCGGUGUAGACGGCUCUCUGGACCGUAACUGACGCUGAGACACGAAAGCGUGGGUAGCAAACAGG
rnacentral:rRNA from 1 species